rnacentral:rRNA from 1 species
UGAAAGGGAUACUCUUCGGACAAUAUACAAGGUGCUGCAUGGUUGUCGUCAGCUCGUGCCGUGAGGUGUCGGGUUAAGUCCCAUAACGAGCGCAACCCCUACUCAUUAGUUGCCAUCAGGUCAAGCUGGGGACUCUAAAGGGACUGCCGGUGUUAAACCGGAGGAAGUGGGGAUGACGUCAAGUCCUCAUGGCCUUUAUGACCAGGGCUACACACGUACUACAAUGGCCGAUACAAAGGGCAGCGACACUGCGAGGUGAAGCCAAUCCCGUAAAAUCGGUCUCAGUCCGGAUUGGAGUCUGCAACUCGACUCCAUGAAGUUGGAAUCGCUAGUAAUCGUGGAUCAGCAUGCCACGGUGAAUACGUUCCCGGGCCUU